AUGGGCCACGAAAGAAGAAAGGAGGAGGAGCACGCCAGAGUGAAGGAGAAGGAGCGGGAGCAUGAGCACAGAAAGCAGCACGGAGAGGAGCCGGACAAAGCUCGCAGGGAGUGGGAGAGGCGGAAGCGGCGGGAGAUGGUGAGAGAGCAUUCCCGGAGAGAGGGGGCCCGCCUGGAGCAGCUGGAAAAGGGGUGGGAGCGGGAGCAGAGGCUGCGGGAGCAGCAGAAAGGAGCUGCGGGAGCAGCAGCAGGAGCUGCGCAAGGCUCGGGGAGGCCCUCUGCACGUCACCGAGCAGUGCGAAGAGGACCAGGGCGAUAAAGUGAAGGCCAGCCACCGGAGCCGCACCCCGCCCCGGCCUUCCGCGGGAGAGGUUUGAGCUGAGAGACGGCCGGAAAGCCAGUGAAAGAAGAGAAGGUGAAAGAGAGAGCCUGCUGUCUGUCCUACAAGACAUCAGCGACAACGAGCGGAAGACCAGCUCGCCCGAGUCCCUCCUCAGCGGAAAUCAGGGUCGGGUUCUAAGGAGGAGGAAACGGAGAUGGAGGGGAGCAGCAGUGAAGAAUCAGAGGAGGAAGAGGAGACUGGGAGCAACCCCCAGGACGUGUCUGGACAGUCGGCAGAGGAGGUGAGUGAGGAAGAAAUGAGUGAAGACGGAGAGCGAGAGGCUGAGAACCACAUCCUCGUUGUUCGAUUUGACCGAGGUUCCGGGGACAGUGAAGAAGGGAAGGAAGAGGUGGGCGAGGGCACCCCCCACAGCACCGCCCUGACGGAAGGCGAGUUCGCGCCGGACUCCCCAGCCCUGUCGCCCAUCGAGCCCAAGCAGGAGCUGCCCAAGUACCUGCCCGCUCUGCAGGGCUGUCGCAGUGUGGAGGAGUUCCAGUGCCUGAACAGGAUUGAGGAGGGCACCUACGGGGUGGUGUACAGAGCAAAGGACAAGAAGACAGAUGAGAUUGUGGCUCUGAAGCAGCUGAAAAUGGAGAAGGAGAAGGAAGGCUUUCCGAUCACGUCGCUGAGGGAGAUCAGCACCAUUCUCAAGGCGCAGCACCCCAACAUCGUGACGGUCAGGGAGAUCGUCGUGGGCAGCAACAUGGACAAGAUUUACAUUGUGAUGAACUACGUGGAGCAUGACCUCAAGAGCCUGAUGGAGACCAUGAAGCAGCCUUUCCUGCCAGGGGAGGUGAAGACACUGAUGAUCCAGCUGCUGUGCGGAGUGAAGCACCUGCACGACAACUGGAUCCUGCACCGAGACCUCAAGACCUCCAACCUGCUGCUGAGCCACACCGGCAUCCUCAAGGUGGGUGACUUUGGGCUGGCGCGGGAGUAUGGGUCCCCUCUGAAGGCCUACACCCCUGUUGUCGUGACCUUGUGGUACCGUGCCCCAGAGCUGCUGCUGGGGGCCAAGGAGUACUCCACGGCCGUGGACAUGUGGUCUGUGGGGUGCAUCUUUGGGGAGCUGCUGACACAGAAACCACUGUUCCCAGGGAAGUCGGAGAUUGAUCAGAUCAACAAAGUGUUUAAGGACCUGGGGACGCCCAGUGAGAAGAUCUGGCCCGGCUACAACCAGCUGCCCGCCGUGAAGAAGAUGACCUUCACCGAGUACCCCUACAACAACCUGCGCAAGCGCUUCGGGGCGCUGCUCUCUGACCAGGGCUUUGACCUCAUGAACAAGUUCCUGACCUACUUUCCUGAGCGGAGGGUCAGCGCAGAGGACGGUCUCAAGCACGAGUAUUUCCACGAGACCCCCCUCCCCAUCGACCCCUCGAUGUUCCCCACGUGGCCCGCCAAGAGUGAACAGCAAAGGGUGAAGCGUGGCACCAGCCCGAGACCCCCCAAGGGAGGCCUCGGCUUCCACCAGCUGGGUGACGACCUGAAGGAGACCGGCUUCCACCUCACCACCACCAACCGGGGGGCCUCGGCCACAGGCCCUGGCUUCAGCCUCAAGUUCUGAGAUUCAGAGUGGACCCCAGAAACAGUGGGACCAGGGGCAGGAGC